rnacentral:tRNA from 1 species
GCCCCGGUGGCUCAGCCUGGUGGAGCGACUGAAGGCAAAUCAGUAGGUCGUGGGUUCAACUCCCACCCGGGGCU